UGCAUUUUAUUUUUUGAAGUUUCUAUAAACCUAUGUUCAAACUCACUACUUUUUCCUCAAGUGUAUCCAGUCUACUGGCUGUAUCUACAUCGCUUUCAGCUGUAACCCACUGUUAUAGUAGAUACUCAAUGGCAUGAUAGUAAGGUGUGAGGAAGAAAAAAAGUUCUACAAUGGCUUGCAUUCUUGGAAGGUAAAGGGAUAAGAAGCUGUGAAGGUUACGUAAUGGAGAUGAAAGGCAAGCUACAGGAAGUGAAAUUGGCAAUUCUUCUUGGUCCCUGUUUGGGAAAAUGUGAAUCUCAUCCUCUCAGUUUCUAGUUUGACAGACUAUAAGUUUCUUUUCAGAGUUAGAGACGAAUGCUGAAAGACCAUGAAAAAUCUCAGAGACAAGUCAUUUCUGGGACAAUAAAUAGCGGAAGACAGCAUUUAACAAUGAAUUAAGGGAAAUUCCAUUCUUUCCUGUAUUUCAGCACUGCGGAAGUCUACGAAGCAGUUAAUGUUAAGAAAUACCAUUGACUAAAAAAAAAAAAAUGAUUUUCUGCAUUGGAUGUUAAAAGAUAUGAAGCAAGAAAUUGACCAUUCAGUGGAACAAUGUGAAUCCUAAAUUAUCUAAAUAAAAACAAGAGGAUCAGUUAAUUCAGAAAAAAGAAUUGUAUAAAUUCUGGAACUCGGUAGAUAUAUUCUCCUUAACAAAUUCUGGCAAAGAAUUCUCCCAAUCACUUAUUCAUUAGGGAUUGAGAAUUGACACUAGAAACAGAUAACUUGUGCUUAAUAUUGUGCUUAAGCUUUAAGCAUAGAAAAUUUCCUUGAUGCAAGGGGGUUACUGUGUCACCUCAAGUUAAAAGGCAAUUUAGGAAGUGAUAUGUAACUAGCAGUUUGAAAGUAUUCUAAAUAUUACUUGCUAACAAAAUUCACUCUCUACAGAAGGGACAUACCUAACAAAGAAUACAUCUUGCAGAUUGCUACAUAAAGAGUAAGUACAUUGACAAAUAUUAUGUACUUAAAAUAUAUACAGCUCUGUACUUAGCAUGCCACAUAGAAUUCCUUAAUAUUCCUCUUAACAGCUGUACAAGUUAACUUGACUUUUAUACGCAUUAUACACAUGAAAAAAAUGAGAUGAGAAAGGCCAAAUAAAAUGAAUGAAUGAAUGAAUGAGUUUUUAAAAUUUAUUUUGACAUGAGAGCCAAUCCUAUCAGCCUUGCUGAUUUCUUCAAAAUACUUGCAAAUAAGUUGCUAUAAUAUAAAAACAUCUUCUUAUUGUUUCUCUCUCCUUAAGGAUUUCUCUGAGACAUUUCUAAUAUUUAAAUCUUUUUUCCCAUAGGUUGUCUUUCACGGUACUUUGUAUACACUACUUUGGGUUCAUAUGCCUCAAGUGAAAAAUUGGUCUAAUAACAUUAAUACCUCUGUCACAACCCCAUUGCACAUGAUCAGUUCUAAUAAUGGGUUUUAAAGUAAUUUUGUUUUAUUUUAAAUUACUAUUCAGAUAUCAGUCACUAUGACAUCAGACUUUUUACUCUCUGUGAUAGUUAUAUAUCAACUUAGCUGGAGUAUAGUAUCAAGUUAUUCAAUAAAACACUAAUCUAGGUGUCACUGUGAAGGGAUUUUGUAGAUAUGAUUAACAUCUACAUUUAGUUGACACUAAGUAAAGGAGAUUUUCCUUGAUAAUGUGGUCAAGCCUCAUCCAAUCAAUUGAAAGGCCUGAGCUUUUCUAGAGGAAGAAGUAAUUUUAUCUCAGGACUCCAGCAUUAGCUACUGCUGGACAAUCCCAGCAUCCCAACCUGCCCAACAGAUUUUAGACUAGACUUACCACCUCAUAUGAGCACAUAGCAGAUUCCCAGAAAUCAAUCUAUCUACCUAUGUAUCUAUCAAUCUAUCAUCUCUCUCCUACUGCUUCUGUUUCUGUAGAUGACACUGACAGAUGUGAAUAUUCACAUAAAAGCUGUCAAUAUGCAUGUUCCUUCCUACUACUUGUACCAAUUAAGCAAAGAGUGUAACGGAUGCAUAUUUUUCUAAAGAAUUUCUGUAUGUGUUCUCCGAUUAUUGGUCAGAAAUAAAAAUAUGUUUAUAAUGCAAAAUUCAUAAAAUGUGUAUAAAUGAUAAUGUAUAUGCCUAUAUAAGUGUGUGUUUUUCUGUGUAUACAUAUAUGUAUAUAUGAGUGUGUGUGUAUGUGUGUGCAUUUUUUUGUAACUGAUACUGUGGCCUUUUAUAUCUACCAAAAUCCAGGACUAGUUUAGAAAAGAAAUUACAGCAGCAUUCUAAAAUUUACUUGUUUGAUAUAAAUAUAUUUUUGUAACUUUUUUUGCCUGACAUUUGUGCUGUAAAUCAAAAGUACUUUUGUGAAAGCAAUUUUUUUAAACAAUCUUCUCUGAAAUUGUGUAGGAGGAAGUGAAUCGCUACCACUCAAUCCUGACAUUAAUUCAACAGACACAUAUUUUGAUUUCUGAAGAAUUAUGGAAACAUUCUUUCAGAAGAGAACAAUGAAAGAUAGCAUUCUGUGUUUAGCACAUUUCCCCUUUCCAAGUGGCAGUGGAGCGUUGUAACAGCAAAGUAAAUUGCUUCUUAUUUCUAUGUGCUUUUUAAAACUGUGACACUGACUGAGCUGAACCACCAAGACCACAUCUGUACACAGCUAAAUAAAAGGUUUUACAUGAUGGCAAAACUGGGCAGAAUUAAUUUGUCCUUGGAUGUACUGAUGAUUGCAAUGCUUA
rnacentral:lncRNA from 1 species